AGGGGAGUGGCUCAAUUGGUAGAGCAUCGGUCUCCAAAACCGAGGGUUGCGGGUUCGAGUCCUGCCUCCCCUGCCA
rnacentral:tRNA from 1 species